UACGUAGGGCGCAAGCGUUGUCCGGAAUUAUUGGGCGUAAAGAGCUCGUAGGUGGCGUGUCGCGUCUGCCGUGAAAGCCCAUGGCUUAACUGUGGGUCUGCGGUGGAUACGGGCAGGCUGGAGGCUGGUAGGGGCAAGCGGAAUUCCUGGUGUAGCGGUGAAAUGCGUAGAUAUCUGGAGGAACACCGGUGGCGAAGGCGGCAUCCUGGACCGAUACUGACGCUGAGGAGCGAAAGCCAGGGGAGCAAACGGG
rnacentral:rRNA from 1 species